AUUAUUCAGUACCUUCCCAUUUGCUGUGCUGCAUAUUUAUUUUUUGUCAUCUGCAAGUUUUAAUAGUUGUUUUAGUAACUUUAUGUGUAUUGAAUGGUAAUCCCAAUUGUUUAUUUUACAUUAAUAAAUAGGGAAUGGAGCAUCAGCAUCUUCAGAAGAAUUUCAGCAAUAUGGAAAACAGUAAAACGGGGUUGCAUUUCUACCUGACAGGAUAUGUUUAAGAUCCAAACCCAGAGAGCCUUUUUGGAUGUUUAUCUCUCUUAUGGCAGCAACGGUAGACUUUAUAUCCAGUCAUCAGACACUGCAAAAAGAAUAUUACAGAAAGCACCAGUUCUGGAGGUUUCCAUCCAUGUGUCCUGCAACAUAUAUCAUGCUUAGCUGUGUUUUGAGUGAAGACUAUCCUAUAAGUCCACAGUCUCAGAGAGCAGAUAUAUUCUUGGUGGAAAAAGUGGCAGAACUUGAACUUCCUUAUGUGAGACUUCAGAGCAUGAAGAAGUUGCACUGUAAGCUUGGGAUCAGAAAGUGCAGAAGAAUGGAUGGAGCGGAAGAGGAAGAACAGACCAUGUCUUUUGGUGGCAGCAAGGAAAGGGACACAGAAACCUGUUGUUUGAUGCUGGUAACUUGUCUGGUUUAAAUCUACUGCGUUAGAGCUCGACCUCUACAAAUCUUUCUCUGUUUCUCUAUAUGUGCCUUAUGAACUGCAGAACUAGCAGUUCAGUGAAAGAACUGCAUGGUUCUCAACGAUGGCAGAUCCUUCUCCAUCCAGCACUGCUCCAAGCCCAGGAUAGGAAAUGGGGCUGUCUGGGCUGCAAGAGCCAGCGUAGUGCAAAUGAAAUGUCCGUGAAUAAAUGAAUGAAUGGCCGUGGAGCCUGUGCUGCUUCAGUCGUAUGGCUGUGGAGAUUUACCCAGGUUGCUUUAAAUCAAAGGGCUCAGGCCAGCUGUGCCCCCGGCACGUGGAUAACUGAGAGUUCAAUUUGCUUUGCUGCUGCACUGAGCUCA
rnacentral:lncRNA from 12 species